rnacentral:rRNA from 1 species
AUUGAACGCUGGCGGCAUGCUUUACACAUGCAAGUCGAACGGUAACAGGCCGCAAGGUGCUGACGAGUGGCGAACGGGUGAGUAAUGCAUCGGAACGUGCCCAGUCGUGGGGGAUAACGCAGCGAAAGCUGUGCUAAUACCGCAUACGAUCUAUGGAUGAAAGCGGGGGACCGUAAGGCCUCGCGCGAUUGGAGCGGCCGAUGUCAGAUUAGGUAGUUGGUGGGGUAAAGGCCCACCAAGCCAACGAUCUGUAGCUGGUCUGAGAGGACGACCAGCCACACUGGGAAUGAGACACGGCCCAGACUCCUACGGGAGGCAGCAGUGGGGAAUUUUGGACAAUGGGCGCAAGCCUGAUCCAGCAAUGCCGCGUGCAGGAAGAAGGCCUUCGGGUUGUAAACUGCUUUUGUACGGAACGAAAAGGUCUGGGUUAAUACCCUGGGCCGAUGACGGUACCGUAAGAAUAAGCACCGGCUAACUACGUGCCAGCCACCGCAGUAACAC